AGUCUACGGAGAUUUAACAUGGUAAACUCGUCCAUUAGCGUCUAGAUUACGGGGCCGGGAACCAGUUUUCGAAGGGAGUAGUCGUCCUUUGCAAAGUAAAUUUCCAAAAAAUCGUUAAAAAUAUAAGGAAUUAAUUUAAAUUGCUUUUAUUGAUAAUAUAACUUUUACUUUGAAUUAAAAUAAAUUUUAACAGCAUUUAACAAAUUUAAUUAUAAACUACGAGAAAAUAGUCCGAAUCUAACGAAGUACAACUUGUGGAUAAUGGCUGUGGGCAUGAUAUGAUGCAAGCUUGCCAGGCGCAGUGUUUAAAACCAAUGUUAAGCUUGAUUUAGCCACUGCAGUAUAAGGAGAGAAGCAGACCAGAAACCCUGACUGAAGUAAAGAUGAUUUGCAUAACAAAGGCAGAUGAAUAAAUCACAAGAGUCCAAAGUUUUGAUGACCAUGCAGAGUCGAGAUAUUGAAACAAAGACAUGCCUGCACUGUUCACUCAAUUUUUCAGAAUAACGUGUCAAAUUGAAAUCCAUCUUAUGUUGGACUAAACAAUCAGGACAUUUUUCUGGAUCACAGGUUGCACAAAGUAUUGACAAAAUCAAAGAUUACCUGGUAGUCUGCAAAUGGAGUGAUCAUUGGAUGAGGCAGACAACACCAUUUUCCUCGGAAAUUUUAGAAUAGAGGCAAUCUCCAUCUUCAUAGAUGACUGAUGUCGACA